UCAUUCAUAGGAUGCCAUUGCCAAGAAGAGCAGGAAAAUGUGGUGAAGGUCCAUGGAGUGCAGAUCCAGACAGCAACUUAAUUGCGUGUGGGCCCAACAGGCAACAAUAUUGGGAGUUGCUUUUGCUGCUGGUUCCUGCUGCUGCUGCUGCACUCCAUGGCUCUUUCUUUCUUUGUUUAAAGAAAUUUGGAAGAGACAGUGCUGUGCAUUGCAAAUUUGCGGUAAUAUGGGAGAUGAGAAAAGAGACCUGUGAAGCUCAUGGGCGACUAAAUCAGGGCUUGGGUGCUGUCCAGGGAGGACGAUGGUGGAGUUAAGAUCGGUUGUAGAUCCCAUGUGAGGAAAUGAAGCAACCACAAGCACCAGCAGCACAAUGCAGCCGCAGGAGGUCUGAAAUUUGGUCGCCAUUGCUGCUGCUGCUGCUGAUAUUGAUGUGCAUCUUUCUAGGAAGACAGACAAUGUGGUUAGAGUACCGAGAGAGGUUUUGAAGGGCUCAAUGGGGAAGUAGAAAUAGAAGAAGAAUGGGAGUGUGUAAUGGGAGAGCGCCAAGCCCGGCCUUAUUUUCUUGACGGCUCCCAGGACUACGGCGUCCCCAGCAAUUUACAUCACCUCUGUCGCUUUCCCUGGACUUCGACUCCAGCUCAGGCGUGGUUUAAAGCACCCAUAAUUCAAGCUUUCAGUUUUGUUCUUGGCGAAUCCCGGGACAUAGGGUCCAGAGACGCUUUUGCUCGUUGGUCUUGCAUAGAUGAUGGUCAGGAUUAAUCAGGAGCUGGUGAUCCUGGCACCCCAAAUAAUGCAUUUCCUUUGUCAUAAUAAGCUUUCGCAAGAGACUCGCGAGGACUAACUACAAGUCGCUUUGUUGAGAGUUUCGGCAUUUACGAGAAAUUUUAUAUUUCCUUUGUCCCAGCACAGAUGUAUUGUUGGGAG